UACGGAGGGUGCAAGCGUUGUCCGGAUUUAUUGGGUUUAAAGGGUGCGUAGGCGGCCCGUUAAGUCAGUGGUGAAAGCCUCCAGCUCAACUGGAGAACUGCCAUUGAUACUAUUUGUCUUGAAUACUGUGGAGGUCAGCGGAAUAUGUCAUGUAGCGGUGAAAUGCUUAGAUAUGACAUAGAACACCAAUUGCGAAGGCAGCUGGCUACACAAAUAUUGACACUGAGGCACGAAAGCGUGGGGAUCAAACAGG
rnacentral:rRNA from 1 species